GGUUUCAAUGGGAUAUGUUGAU
rnacentral:miRNA from 8 species